ACCUAAUGAUAUGGGCAUUUACGGAGCAGGUCCCUAAAGCACUCUUAAGUCUCAAAAGAGAGUUCCCCAUCCAUCUGUGAAAAACUCAUGAUGGCUCUCUAAAGUU